GCAUUGGUGGUUCGGUGGUAGAAUUCUCAGUUUCCACGUGGGAGACCCAGGUUCACUUCUCUGCCAGUGCA
rnacentral:tRNA from 1 species